rnacentral:rRNA from 1 species
CCUACGGGGGGCUGCAGUGGGGAAUAUUGCACAAUGGGCGCAAGCCUGAUGCAGCCAUGCCGCGUGUGUGAAGAAGGCCUUCGGGUUGUAAAGCACUUUCAGCGGGGAGGAAGGCGGUGAGGUUAAUAACCUCAUCGAUUGACGUUACCCGCAGAAGAAGCACCGGCUAACUCCGUGCCAGCAGCCGCGAUAAUACGGAGGGUGCAAGCGUUAAUCGGAAUUACUGGGCGUAAAGCGCACGCAGGCGGUCUGUCAAGUCGGAUGUGAAAUCCCCGGGCUCAACCUGGGAACUGCAUUCGAAACUGGCAGGCUAGAGUCUUGUAGAGGGGGGUAGAAUUCCAGAUGUAGCGGUGAAAUGCGUAGAGAUCUGGAGGAAUACCGGUGGCGAAGGCGGCCCCCUGGACAAAGACUGACGCUCAGGUGCGAAAGCGUGGGGAGCAAACAGGAUUAAAUACCCCAGUAGUC